GAAUGUGAGGGCAAUCUGGCUGGCUAGGUGGGAGUCCUUUUCCUCCCUCACUGCUCUGUGUAUGUCCUUCCUCAAGUUGGAUUUUUGGUCAAAGAGGAUGAUCAUUGCUGAUAGAAGAGGAUUUUUCUUUGGUCGAGAGUACAGGAGUAGCUGUGCUCCCUUUUUAGGACCUCCAAACAAGCUCGCUCCAAACAAGCUCUCAAGAUCCUAUCUGUAGGAGAAUGUGGGGUAAAAAAGUUUUAAGUUUGUAAUUUUGAUGAAGUUCAAUU
rnacentral:snRNA from 1 species